AUUUCAAAAAUAUGUAUUUCUUUCAUAAACCCAUCUCAAAUUCCAAUUUCUUCAACACUAAUUGACAAUUACAUAUUUCUUUGCCAUAAUUUAGUUAUAACCUCAGAUAAAUAUUCAUAAUCUUUAAUUCUUGUCAAACUUUAAACAUGAGUAAUUGUUUACAAACCUUAAAUUCAAGAAUUAUUUCCCAUAAAUACAUCUUUUACUUACCUGAAGAAAUUAAGGAAGAACUUUAAGGACCAUGUAGGUAUUGCCAUCAUUUUUUCUUCCUCUUCCUUCUUCUUCUUCUUCCUUUUCUUUCUUCUUUUCUUCUUCUAUUUUUCUCUUUCUUUUGCCGGUUUUUC
rnacentral:lncRNA from 1 species